UACGUAGGAUCCAAGCGUUGUCCGGAUUUACUGGGUGUAAAGGGUGCGCAGGCGGACUUGUUAGUCAGGGGUGAAAUCUCACAGCUUAACUGUGAAACUGCCUUUGAUACUGCAGGUCUUGAAUUGGGGAGAGAGUUGUGGAAUUCCGAGUGUAGCAGUGAAAUGUGUAGAUAUUCGGAAGAACACCAGUGGCGAAGGCAGCAACUUGGCCCCACAUUGACGCUCAGGCACGAAAGCAUGGGGAUCAAACAGG
rnacentral:rRNA from 1 species